rnacentral:lncRNA from 1 species
GAAUUCUUUGCUCAAACAAAAUUUGUCCCUUUGAAAUGUAUCAUCAGUCCUCAUCAGUCUUCUGAAUCUAAGAUCGGUAAUCUGGUGAUUUUUAGGAGGAGCUUUUAGCUCCUUUGAAAGCACAGGGACGUACGUUUAGAACAAUCUUUGAAGUGAUGCUGAACGAGGACACCAAACGUGAAGUGCGAACUCACCAAUAACAGAACGUUUGUAGACACGUCUGUGACAGUGUAAAUGGAUCAAAGAACCCUGCAAACCAGAGAGCAAGGCAUAAAGAAGAAACAUCUUUACAUUUUUAAAAUUGGUAGUUCCAGGAGGAAACACUUCAUUUGCAAUGUAUGAUUUCAAGUGUCCCAAGUCUGUGGGAAGAAUGCUCCAUGAGCUGUUAUCAUCACAUUUGGUCAGUGUAAGUUGCCAGAGUCUCACCAGGAGAGAGGAGAGAUGGAUCCCGGCAGAGAAGACAGGUCCUCCGUUCAGCCUCGUGAGUUGUCAAAAGGAGGGGCAGGUCUGUCACACGAUCCGGCUUGGACCAUGGGUCUUACUAUGUAGUCUUGUACACUGGAUGUGCCUCCUGGGUCCAGUGUUUGCUGGUUUAUUUCAAAACUAGUCACCUUACUGUAGAAAUUAUUGAAAAAAUUAUCACUAUUUCUGUGGCUGUGAGACUAUGAAGUAGCUAGAAAGAACAAUUUCAGGUUUAGAAUGAGUAUUUUAGUAAGGCACAGUAGAAAUAUGUCUCAAAAUAUGUAUGGAAUAUGUAUAUAUGUAUAGAAUUUGUAUAGAAAUAUGAGUAUCGGUACUGAUUAAUUUAGCUUUGAGUAUUGUUUCUGAAGUAAUCUGAAGUGGAAAGGAAAAAUGUGUAAUCACCUGUGUGAAAGUGUAGGAAUUUGUUUUGCAUUCAGAGAAGCCCUUGAAAAAGAAAGAAAGAAAAAAAAGAACAAGUAAUAUAUUAGACAUAUUAGGUAACUUUGGUCUUCAGUUUCAGGGAAUGAUUUGUGUUGUCCUUUAUGUUGCUUGCACAUAUGCACAGGCACUGCCUGGUCGGAUUUCUUUUUUAAAUCCUACAUACACUGGAGAAAAAUCCCUGCUGCUCAUAUGGUAACAGUGGAAAAAGUGGCAUUGUUCAGACUUUGCCCUUCCCUUGAUUCCAUUAAUCAUUAUUUAUGUAAUAACAAUAAUUCAGUAUGCUAGAUCAGCAAUACUGUUUUAAAUUUUAGGGAAAUUAAUAUUUUAUCAUCUGCCUCACUGAUCUAUGAACAACAGUUCUCCACUGUUGUGUUAUACUCUUCUCAUGUGUGUCAUAUAAAAUGCUGAUGGCACAAUGUUUUGUGUAUGCUGUGCAAAUUUAUGGGUAACAAUUCCACCAGGGACUGCAAGCAUGAAAUGUGAUAAAAAUUCUUAUUUCCUGAGAGCAGAAAAAAAGUUCCAAAUGUGACAAAUAGGAGAAGCAGCAAGAGUUAAUUGUUAGGAGACCAAACCCACCAAUAGUUAUCCUUUUUCUUGAGCAGGAUUCUGCAACUGCAGUAUGAAAAUCAAGUCAGAUGUAGCUUUAAAUGAGGCUGUAGUGUGGUGUUGCUGUAGAGUAGGUUUUUUUCACACUCUCACCUGAAAUCACUAGGGUAGGAUAGAGGUAAAUCUGUAAUGAAAUAUAUUGUUCAUCUGAUGUGCUGGAAAGGUAAGGUAGAUGCAGCAUUAAGUCUUCUUUGCACUAGACUGAAAAUGGUACAUUACAGUUUGGGGUGAUGUGAGAAAAUUCUAUAUACAUGGUACAGGAUUUUAUGGCAUGUUACUCACCUUUCUGCUAUGCAAAUUAAGGUACCACAAAAAGUAAUCAGAUGUGAAAGUCAUAUUAUAAGUAUGCUUUUGAUGUUACUAGUAUGCUUUUCAGAUGCAAAUAGUUCAAUAAACUCAAAACUCUUUCAGUAGGAUUCA